UGCUGUGAACUCGAAGAGUAGGGCGGGACACGUGGUAUCCUGUCUGAAUAUGGGGGGACCAUCCUCCAAGGCUAAAUACUCCUGACUGACCGAUAGUGAACCAGUACCGUGAGGGAAAGGCGAAAAGAACCCCGGCGAGGGGAGUGAAAAAGAACCUGAAACCGUGUACGUACAAGCAGUGGGAGCCUCUUUAUGGGGUGACUGCGUACCUUUUGUAUAAUGGGUCAGCGACUUAUAUUCUGUAGCAAGGUUAACCGUAUAGGGGAGCCGAAGGGAAACCGAGUCUUAACUGGGCGUUAAGUUGCAGGGUAUAGACCCGAAACCCGGUGAUCUAGCCAUGGGCAGGUUGAAGGUUGGGUAACACUAACUGGAGGACCGAACCGACUAAUGUUGAAAAAUUAGCGGAUGACCUGUGGCUGGGGGUGAAAGGCCAAUCAAACCGGGAGAUAGCUGGUUCUCCCCGAAAGCUAUUUAGGUAGCGCCUCGUGAACUCAUCUUCGGGGGUAGAGCACUGUUUCGGCUAGGGGGCCAUCCCGGCUUACCAACCCGAUGCAAACUACGAAUACCGAAGAAUGUUAUCACGGGAGACACACGGCGGGUGCUAACGUCCGUCGUGAAGAGGGAAACAACCCAGACCGCCAGCUAAGGUCCCAAAGUCAUGGUUAAGUGGGAAACGAUGUGGGAAGGCACAGACAGCCAGGAUGUUGGCUUAGAAGCAGCCAUCAUUUAAAGAAAGCGUAAUAGCUCACUGGUCGAGUCGGCCUGCGCGGAAGAUGUAACGGGGCUAAACCAUGCACCGAAGCUGCGGCAGCGACACUAUGUGUUGUUGGGUAGGGGAGCGUUCUGUAAGCCGUCGAAGGUGUGCUGUGAGGCAUGCUGGAGGUAUCAGAAGUGCGAAUGCUGACAUAAGUAACGAUAAAGCGGGUGAAAAGCCCGCUCGCCGGAAGACCAAGGGUUCCUGUCCAACGUUAAUCGGGGCAGGGUGAGUCGACCCCUAAGGCGAGGCCGAAAGGCGUAGUCGAUGGGAAACAGGUUAAUAUUCCUGUACUUGGUGUUACUGCGAAGGGGGGACGGAGAAGGCUAUGUCAGCCGGGCGACGGUUGUCCCGGUUUAAGCAUGUAGGCGGAGGUUCCAGGUAAAUCCGGUACCUUUUAACGCUGAGGUGUGAUGACGAGGCACUACGGUGCUGAAGUGAUAAAUGCCCUGCUUCCAGGAAAAGCCUCUAAGCAUCAGGUAACACGAAAUCGUACCCCAAACCGACACAGGUGGUCAGGUAGAGAAUACCAAGGCGCUUGAGAGAACUCGGGUGAAGGAACUAGGCAAAAUGGUGCCGUAACUUCGGGAGAAGGCACGCUGAUGUGUAGGUGAAGCCCCUGCGGGCGGAGCUGAAAUCAGUCGAAGAUACCAGCUGGCUGCAACUGUUUAUUAAAAACACAGCACUGUGCAAACACGAAAGUGGACGUAUACGGUGUGACGCCUGCCCGGUGCCGGAAGGUUAAUUGAUGGGGUUAGCCGCAAGGCGAAGCUCUUGAUCGAAGCCCCGGUAAACGGCGGCCGUAACUAUAACGGUCCUAAGGUAGCGAAAUUCCUUGUCGGGUAAGUUCCGACCUGCACGAAUGGCGUAAUGAUGGCCAGGCUGUCUCCACCCGAGACUCAGUGAAAUUGAACUCGCUGUGAAGAUGCAGUGUACCCGCGGCAAGACGGAAAGACCCCGUGAACCUUUACUAUAGCUUGACACUGAACACUGGUCCUUGAUGUGUAGGAUAGGUGGGAGGCUUUGAAGCGUGGACGCCAGUCUGCGUGGAGCCAACCUUGAAAUACCACCCUUUAAUGGCUGGUGUUCUAACGUAGACCCGUAAUCCGGGUUGCGGACAGUGUCUGGUGGGUAGUUUGACUGGGGCGGUCUCCUCCCAAAGAGUAACGGAGGAGCACGAAGGUUGGCUAAUCCUGGUCGGACAUCAGGAGGUUAGUGCAAUGGCAUAAGCCAGCUUGACUGCGAGCGUGACGGCGCGAGCAGGUGCGAAAGCAGGUCAUAGUGAUCCGGUGGUUCUGAAUGGAAGGGCCAUCGCUCAACGGAUAAAAGGUACUCCGGGGAUAACAGGCUGAUACCGCCCAAGAGUUCAUAUCGACGGCGGUGUUUGGCACCUCGAUGUCGGCUCAUCACAUCCUGGGGCUGAAGUAGGUCCCAAGGGUAUGGCUGUUCGCCAUUUAAAGUGGUACGCGAGCUGGGUUUAGAACGUCGUGAGACAGUUCGGUCCCUAUCUGCCGUGGGCGCUGGAGAAUUGAGGGGGGCUGCUCCUAGUACGAGAGGACCGGAGUGGACGCAUCACUGGUGUUCGGGUUGUCAUGCCAAUGGCACUGCCCGGUAGCUAAAUGCGGAAGAGAUAAGUGCUGAAAGCAUCUAAGCACGAAACUUGCCCCGAGAUGAGUUCUCCCUGAGACUUUAAGUCUCCUGAAGGAACGUUGAAGACGACGACGUUGAUAGGUCGGGUGUGUAAGCGCAGCGAUGCGUUGAGCUAACCGAUACUAAUGAACCGUGAGGCUUAACCUUACAACGCCGAAGGUGUUU
rnacentral:rRNA from 1 species